UACGUAGGGGGCAAGCGUUGUCCGGAUUUAUUGGGCGUAAAGGGCGCGUAGGCGGCCUGCUAAGUCGGACGUGAAAUCCCUCGGCUCAACCGAGGAACUGCGUCCGAUACUGGUGGGCUUGAAUCCGGGAGAGGGAUGUGGAAUUCCAGGUGUAGCGGUGAAAUGCGUAGAUAUCUGGAGGAACACCGGUGGCGAAGGCGGCAUCCUGGACCGGUAUUGACGCUGAGGCGCGAAAGCUAGGGGAGCAAACGGG
rnacentral:rRNA from 1 species